rnacentral:ncRNA from 1 species
AAACUGAAGAGUUUGAUCCUGGCUCAGAUUGAACGCUGGCGGCAUGCCUCAUACAUGCAAGUCGAACGGUAACAGGGGAGAGCUUGCUCUCUCGCUGACGAGUGGCGGACGGGUGAGUAAUGCAUAGGAAUCUGCCCAGUAGCGGGGGAUAACUUGGGGAAACUCAAGCUAAUACCGCAUACGCCCUACGGGGGAAAGCGGGGGACCUUCGGGCCUCGCACUAUUGGAUGAGCCUAUGUCUGAUUAG